GGAGCCCUGGGUGUGCGGAACAGUACUAGUUUAGACGGCUAAGGAUCAGAAUUCGAGAGAACUGGCUUUUUUUGGUGGCGGGGAAGGCGAAGCGCUGCUAGCGCGGCGGGUGGUCAACAGAGGGGCGCAAGGGAGCCGUGUGCGGCUACGAUGGGAGGUGGGCCGGGAGCAGGAAGACGGAAGGCCCGAGUUCCGGAAAGAGGAUGGGGUGGGGGGCGGAGAGCCAAGAGCACCGGAACCGGGAAGCCAAAGCCUGGGUCCCCGAGAGCAAAACCUCGAGCCCACUUGGCUUCCCCACCUCACCCCCGCCUCUAGGUGAGGCAGGACGUCCACUCCUCGGACCCGGAAACUAUUCCCUCGCACACACCGCCCUUCCCGCCGGCCGCCGCCGCUCUGGGCUGCACGUGGACAGAGGGUCUCGGUGACUCGCGACCCCCGCUGCCUCCCUCCGCCAACAGGCCCCGGAGCCCCCAUUCCUCGGGCGACUUCCCUGCGGCAGUGGUUGGGACCCCUUGGAUCGCGACCCGCGCGCUCCCCCUGGCUCCGGACGGUCCCGCCGCCCCCUAGUCACCUCCCUCUCUCCCCACAAAUGCGCCCCCUCUCCGCGCCUUCUCCCUAAAGCCAUUUCCAGCUGCUCUUCCUUCCGAGGCCGGCUAGCCCACCCGCCCAGAUACUGAGUAUUUUACAAAUUGAAGGUUUGUACUGUAGCAACCCUGCACUGAGCAAGUCUACUGGCGCCAUUUUUCCAACAGCAUUUGUUCACUUCAUGCCUCUGUGUCACAUUUUGAUGUGGUAGAAAUGGCAAGAGAACUAGAAUCAGAAGUGGAGCCUGAAGAUGUGACUGAACUGCUGCAAUCUCGCGAUAAAACUUUCAUGGUGAGGAGUUGUUUCUUCUGGAUGAGCAAAGAAAGUGGUUUCUUGAGGUGAGAUCUACUCCUGGUGAAGAUGCUGUGAAGACUCUUGAAAUGACAAGAAAGGAAUGAGAGUAUUACAUAAACUUAGUUGAUAAAGCAGCGGCAGGAUUUGAGGGAAUUGACUCCGAUUUUGAAAGAAGUUCUACUCUGGGUAAAAUGCUAUCCAACAGCAUUGCAGGCUACAGAGAAAUUGUUUGUGAAAGGAAGAGUCAGUCAAUGCAGUCAAUCAUUGUUGUCUUAUUUUAAGAAAUUGACACAGCCAUCCCAACCUUCAGCAACCACGACCCUGAUCAGUCAGCAGCCAUCCACAUCAAGACAGGACCCUCUGCCAGCAAAAGAUUACAAUUACAGGCUCAGAUGAUGGUUAGCAUUUUUUAGCAAUAAAGUAUUUAUAAAUUAAGUGUAUCUCCGAGGUAUGCCUGUACUUGAGAGUAAGAAACAUCAAUCACUUACAUUAUUGUUGUUUUUUUGGCGUGCGCUGAGCAGCGUGAGGGAUCUUUGUUCCCUGACCAGAGAUGGAACCCGCACCCCCUGCAGAGUCUUAACCACUGGACCGCCAGGGAAGUCCCUCACUUACUCUGUUUUAAAAGUGCUUCAUCGCCCCCAGUAUACAGUUACACGUUUAAAGAAAAACUUGUUAAAUUGGAGUUCAGACUUGGCAAGAUUUUGGUUGAAGCCAUAGCUGCUUUGCUUCAGAAGCUUUCCACUGGCGCCAAAGCGACCUCUGGUGGCCAGGGGAGAAAAGGCUGCAUUCAGGAUGCUGGUGUUCAAGCCGGUAAGGCACAGGUGUGCACCCAGGACGCCCUGGUGACGGGCACGUGAGGGCAGCACCUUUGCUCCUGACUGCGUCUGAGCCCUCCUCUGUGUUCAGGGAGACCUGUGUUCACAAAUGCCACAGAGAAGGCGGUACAGUGUAGUGGCCAGGAGCACAGGCAUGGCUGGGGCAAGUGAUUCAACCUUCCUGUGUCUUACCUUCCUCAUCUCUACAGAAGUGCAUGCCAUGAUUAGUACAAUGAAACUUACUUGAGGAACCACCUGGAAAAAAAAAUGAUUUGGAAAACAGAUGGUAUCUCCUUGACAAGUUUCAUUCUGAUAGAAUCUUUUUACCCUUGAGGGAUUUACAAAAUCCAUACUCAUUGCCCACACCUGGGCAGAUAAAUAAUUCCAAUGGGUGAGGUGAACAAGAAAUCUGCAGUUAUGAUAGAUGCAGGCAGAUCUUGUGGAGUUUUCAUCCCUAGAAAUAGAGAGAGGAAGAGUGGCCAAGGAGGGCUGGGUGGGCUUCACACUGUGAGGCUGCAUCACCGUCUUUGUCCUCAAAAUAUCUGAGAAGAAAAGAAGGUAGUGUUAAAUGGGGCACUUCCUGGGGCAAACUCCCUUGGUGGCGAAGAGGCCUUCUGAAGAACUCUUUUCUUCUGAGCCUUCUCAGCAUGUAUGGACAGUGUUUGAAUUACAUCCUGCAGAAUUAAGGCUAUAAUGUGUUCUGCUUUUGGAAGCAUCUUGUGCAAAAAGGAGGCUCUUUUGGUCUCUAAGCAAAUCUGUCACAGAUAGGUAGCUCCUCAACAACUAGCCCAGUGCCUGGCUUUGGUCACAUUUUCAGGGUAUAAGGAGGACAAAAGUUAAAUCUGGAUGCUGGUGUCCUAAAUUCUUGGACUUUUGCCUUCAUGAGCCAGCUACCCUUUAUGAGCCCGAAGCGGGAUCUGUAUGAGAGGAAGGAAGUAUUCCUGCAGGAAGAGGAAUCCUUUAGCCCCAGCUGAAGUUUUGGCCAUAAAUCUCAGCGUAGAAGUAUCUUGUGAGCUGGCUCAGGCUACAUCUAGUUUUUGUGUAUGGGCUCUAAGCCAGCUAGGAAGAGGCAAAGUGGCCUCUCUGGCCUUUUUCCCUGUAGUUCUACAACCAUAUCUUAGUGCUUCAAGGCUUGCCAGUUGCACAGUGAGAAUAGGAAAGGAAAGACGGAGAAGUCAUCGAGGUUAAAGGAGAGCAUCUCUCUCUAAAGCUGAGAGUAGCUUUGGGGAACUACUCAUUCUAGGCCUCGUUCCUCUGGGUCUUGCCCUGGUUCCCACUGGCUUUCUAAGGGGAGAGGAAGACCUUCCUUCUAGGCUUGAUUGCACUUUGGGGCCCCUCUUACUACAUCAGCCUCGUGGGAGAUAAGAAAUCCUGAAUGUAAAGAGAGGAAACCAUAAGGAGAAGGUGUAAUAACCACAUCUCCUUGGAACAUCCUAGUGCGUCGUGUUGGAGGCCCCAAGAAUGCCCCUGGACUGACACUUGAGAGGGAUACAGGAGGGGAAGGGCAGUGAGAAGGCCUUAGUAUGUGUUGAAUGACUGAGGAGGGAGUCAGUGAAUGGAGACCCUUUCUAGAUUUACUCUCCAAAACAUAUAAUCAAAAUUUGCUCCAGGGAAGUCUAACAUAAUUUUAGGGAAAAUUAUAAUGUGAAGCUUCUUUCAGUUCAAUGUCUAAAAAUCUAUCUUUAUUCAUGGCAGUGGGGUUAUUCAGGAAAGUUGUGAAGGCUUUUUUAAACUUCAGAAAAAGUAGGAUUCUUACCAGGCAAGAUGAUCACCUUUGAUUGUUUUGUACCAUUUGAAAAUGUUGGUGUUACCAACAUAAUCACAUUCUUGCGGGAUUAGGAGAUGCUUAAAAGAUACUUAGUCCCAUUGCUAAGAAGUUAUCUUAUGCAUAUACGAGCACGUGUGCACUGGGAUAAAUGUGCAAGGAUGUCCGUCUCAGCAUUGUUGGUAACAACAAUGACAUUUUUUUAAAAAGCCAUGAAACAACCAAAACGUCAAUCAGUGAUCCACUUUUACCCUUUCAAACUGUUUGAAUGUCUUAGUAUGAGCAGGUGUUCCUUGUCAUUUAAAAAAAAUCACCUCUACCCUGACUGCUGACUCAUCCCCACCAAGAGGUCAUCCUGGCUGUCCUUGAACACUUCCAGUGAUGGAGAACUCACUACCGCUUAACUAUCAGACAAUGUUUUGAUCAAGAGCCUCUGGACAAUAAUUAGUUCCUAUUAAGACAUGAUCUAGGUUUCCAGGGGGGGCCUGCAUCUCUCAGUCCCAUCUUCAGGGCUCUGGAGCUGGAUAGCACGCAAUUUUGACAGCUAGUUCUUGGUAUUUUUUCCAUUUAAAAAUUAUUUUUGAAUAUACGAAUGGAAAAUAAUUGGGGGAAGUAUGUCCUCUGGCAAAAGCCUUCAAGAUACUGGAAGAAGACAAUAAAGGACUGUUCAGGAUAAGAUUUUAAGGAGGAUAUUAAAAAUCUAUGUAGGGGCUUCCCUGGUGGCACAGUGGUUAAGAAUCCAUCUGCCAAUGCAAGGGACACAGGUUCGAGCCCUGGUCUGGGAAGAUCCCACAUGCCACGGAGAGACUAAGCCCAUGUGCCACAACUACUGAGCCUGCGCUCUAGAGCCCACGAACCACAACUACUGAGCCUGUGCGCCUAGAACCUGUGCUCCGCAACAAGAGAAGCCACUGCGAUGAGAAGCCUGCGCACUGCAACAAAGAGUAAACCCCGCUCGCCACAACUAGAGAAAGCCCGUGUGCAGCAACGAAGAC